GGGCGAUUAGCUCAAUCGGCUAGAGCGCCUGCCUUACACGCAGGAGGUCGCAGGUCCGAAUCCUGCAUCGCCCA
rnacentral:tRNA from 1 species